rnacentral:lncRNA from 1 species
AUGUUCCCUUGGUAUCUCUCUAAUUUUCUUGAAGAGAUCUCUAGUCUUUCCCAUUCUAUUGUUUUUCUCUAUUUCUUUGCAUACAAUUGGGGAAGGUUUUCUUAUCUCUCCUUGCUAUUCUUUGGGACUCUGCAUUCAAAUAGGUAUAUCUUUCCUUUUCUCCUUUGCCCUUCGCUUCUCUUUUCACAGCUAUCUUCACUGCGGCUUGAGAUGGGUGCAAACCAAACUCAAGUAGGGAGACCUCUGGUGGUGACUGAGAAAAGUACAGUCUCACAGACUAGGCUGUGGGCCUGGAGGCUAUGGAGGGAUUCUGAGUCCCAGGGGGACAGACACGACCACUUUGGAGAAGGGGACAGCGAAGGGGAAGAAAGAAUCCCCCUUCCCCUUCCUCAUUAACCCAACCAGAAGCCAGAGGCUGAAGAGCCAGGAGGACUCAGUCUGCAGGGAUGAGGUCACCCCAGCACAGAGCCAAGAGACAAGGAAAGAAAAACGUGGAAGGGGCGACAACAGAGAAUGAGCAGUGUAAGGGCUCCUUUCCUUGCCUUUUGUGAUCGAGACUGCAGGCUGUGCCACAGGAUCCCGCUGUCUGGAAUGCAGACACAUCAGUGGGCCAGUUUGGACCAUGAAGAUGAGGGCAGAGAAGCUGUGGAGAGCCUGUCACCCGAAGACACAGGGCUGCUGCCCUGAGCCCACACGGCUGCCCUGAGGAUUGUUACCUGAGAGAGAUGCAAAGUAGCAAGUGGCUCCAGCUGCGGUCCUGUGCCCACCGAACUUAUUACAGCCUUUAUGGAUUUUGAGAAGUACAGAGUCCCCAUCUUUGAGAAGGCUUCAAGAGCUUACUGCAUGUUCUGAUAGCACUCCACAGGGACCUAGUUCCUCCCUUCUUGCCUAGGACCCCCAUCCCUGUGAUGGCUCAGAGCAGCUGUUACCUUGCACAGAGAAGCUCUCUUCCAGUGUGAAUGUCCUUCCAGUGAUCUCUGCGAAGUGUCAGCCCCGAGUAGGGUGGGGCAGGCUGGGGCUGGGUUAGGAUACUGCGGCUCUGUGUCUUCUCCCCAGUGGGUGUUCUCCCCAUCGUGGCUGUGACUUCUCAGCCCCUGACAGCCCAUGGCAGUUGCUGGUAAGAAUCACUUCCUGCUGGGUUCUGAAUUGAGAAGACAGAGAUGGCCCAUCGUGCAGCACCAUCUCACUUCCUGUGUAACUCCAUUAAGCUUCCCCUGGAAGCAGCCAGGGCCACUGCUCAAGCCUCCCUGAUGAGUGUAGGAUGCCUGGACUUGACAGGAAGUGUGAGGGGGUGGGGAUGAGGGAGGAACAACAAAGCUUAGACCAUUUGUAUGAAUUUCUGACGUCUAUUUUGUGUUGAUAUUUCUUCAGCUUACAAAGCAAUUUCUCAGAGUUUCACUCCAUCUGAGAAGUUUGGAAUAAACAUUUUUCAUUCUCAUUUUGCA